rnacentral:rRNA from 1 species
AGAAUCAACGCUGGCGGCGUGCCUCAGACAUGCAAGUCGAACGCGAAAGGCCCCUUCGGGGGCCGAGUAGAGUGGCGCACGGGUGAGUAACACGUAGGUAAUCUACCUUCGGGUGGGGAAUAACAACCGGAAACGGUUGCUAACACCGCAUAAUGCAGCGGCACCUAAUGGUGACAGUUGUUAAAGCGGGGGAUCGAAAGACCUCGCGCCUGAAGAGGAGCCUGCGGCGGAUUAGCUAGUUGGUAGGGUAACGCCUACCAAGGCGACGAUCUGUA